CGUCUGGUGGAUGGCUCGGCUUGAGCGCUGAGGAAGGGCGCGGCAAGCCGCGAAAGAGCCCCGGGUAGGCGCAUGCAGCCGUAGAUCCGGGGAUUCCUGAAUGGGACUUCCUACCGCGGUUCUUCGGAACCGUGGUGCUCCCGGCAGGGAGCGGGAACCCCCCGAACGGAAGCAUCUUAGUAGGGGGAGGAAAAGAAACCAACUGGGAUUCCCUUAGUAG
rnacentral:rRNA from 1 species